GACGGAGGAUGCAAGCGUUAUCCGGAAUGAUUGGGCGUAAAGCGUCCAGGUGGCAGUUCAAGUCUGCGGUCAAAGACCGGGGCUUAACUUCGGAAAGGCAGUGGAAACUGAACAGCUAGAGUAUGGUAGGGGCAGAGGGAAUUCCUGGUGUAGCGGUGAAAUGCGUAGAGAUCAGGAAGAACAUCGGUGGCGAAGGCGCUCUGCUGGACCAUAACUGACACUCAGGGACGAAAGCUAGGGGAGCGAAUGGG
rnacentral:rRNA from 1 species